GACGAACGCUGGCGGCGUGCUUAACACAUGCAAGUCGAACGAAGUGGCGAACGGGUGAGUAACGCGUAAUCAACCUGCCCUUCAGAGGGGGACAACAGUUGGAAACGACUGCUAAUACCGCAUACUGAGGGAGGGGAUUGCGUGUGAUUAGCUAGGUGGAGGGGUAACGGCCCACCAAGGCGAUGAUCAGUAGCCGGUCUGAGAGGAGGAACGGGCACAUUGGGACUGGGACACGGCCCAGACUCCGAAGGGAGGGAGCAGGGGGGAAUCUUCCGGAAUGGACGAAAGUCGGACGGAGCAACGCCGCGGGAGUGAUGACGGCCUUCGGGGUGUAAAGCUCUGUUAAUCGGGGCGCGGUACCGGAAGAGAAAGCCACGGCUAACUACGUGCCAGCAGCCGCGGUAAUAC
rnacentral:rRNA from 1 species